rnacentral:rRNA from 1 species
CCUACGGGUGGCAGCAGUAGGGAAUGUUGCGCAAUGGGCGAAAGCCUGACGCAGCAACGCCGCGUGAACGAGACGUACGUUGGGGGGUAAAGGUCUGUUAGUGGGGACGAAAAAUGACGGUACCCACAGAGGAAGCACCGGCUAACUCCGUGCCAGCAGCCGCGGUAAUACGGAGGGGGCAAGCGUUGUCCGGAAUCAUUGGGCGUAAAGAGUUCGUAGGCGGCAUGUAAAGUCAGGUGUUAAAGGCGCAGGCUCAACCUGUGGAUGGCACUUGAUACUUGCAAGCUGGAGUGCGGUAGAGGUAAGGGGAAUUCCUGGUGUAGCGGUGAAAUGCUUAGAUAUCAGGAGGAACAUCGGUGGCGUAGGCGCUUUACUGGGCCGUAAUUGACGCUGAGGAACGAAAGCCCGGGUAGCAAAUAGGAUUAGAUACCCUUGUAGUC